rnacentral:rRNA from 1 species
CUUGCAGCCAUAUCAUGUUGAAACAUCGGUUCUCGUACGAUCACCGAAGUUAAGCAACGUCUAGCCUAGUCAGUACUUAGACGGGUAACCACUUGGGAAUAACAGGUGA